rnacentral:rRNA from 1 species
AUGACGUCAAAUCAUCAUGCCCUUAUGACCUGGGCUACACACGUGCUACAAUGGUUGGUACAACGAGUUGCGAGUCGGUGACGGCGAGCUAAUCUCUUAAAGCCAAUCUCAGUUCGGAUUGUAGGCUGCAACUCGCCUACAUGAAGUCGGAAUCGCUAGUAAUCGCGGAUCAGCACGCCGCGGUGAAUACGUUCCCGGGCCUU